GACGAACGCUGGCGGCGUGCUUAACACAUGCAAGUCGAACGGAAAGGCCCUGCUUUUGUGGGGUGCUCGAGUGGCGAACGGGUGAGUAACACGUGAGUAACCUGCCCUUGACUUUGGGAUAACUUCAGGAAACUGGGGCUAAUACCGGAUAGGAGCACCUGCUGCAUGGUGGGGGUUGGAAAGUUUCGGCGGUUGGGGAUGGACUCGCGGCUUAUCAGCUUGUUGGUGGGGUAGUGGCUUACCAAGGCUUUGACGGGUAGCCGGCCUGAGAGGGUGACCGGCCACAUUGGGACUGAGAUACGGCCCAGACUCCUACGGGAGGCAGCAGUGGGGAAUAUUGCACAAUGGGCGGAAGCCUGAUGCAGCAACGCCGCGUGCGGGAUGACGGCCUUCGGGUUGUAAACCGCUUUCGCCUGUGACGAAGCGUGAGUGACGGUAAUGGGUAAAGAAGCACCGGCUAACUAUGUG
rnacentral:rRNA from 1 species